UACGUAGGGUGCAAGCGUUAAUCGGAAUUACUGGGCGUAAAGCGUGCGCAGGCGGUUUUUGUAAGUUUGUCGUGAAAUCCCCGGGCUCAACCUGGGAAUGGCGAUGGAGACUGCAAGGCUAGAAUCUGGCAGAGGGGGGGUAGAAUUCCACGUGUAGCAGUGAAAUGCGUAGAGAUGUGGAGGAACACCGAUGGCGAAGGCAGCCCCCUGGGGUCAAGAUUGACGCUCAUGCACG
rnacentral:rRNA from 1 species